UACAGAGGGUGCAAGCGUUAAUCGGAAUUACUGGGCGUAAAGCGCACGUAGGUGGGAAGAUAAGUUUGAUGUGAAAGCCCUGGGCUUAACCUGGGAAUGGCGUUGAAGACUGUUUUCUAGAGUCGGACAGAGGGUUGUGGAAUUUCCGGUGUAGCGGUGAAAUGCGUAGAGAUCGGAAAGAACACCAGUGGCGAAGGCGACGGCCUGGGUCCAGACUGACACUGAGGGCGAAAGCGUGGGAGCAAACAGG
rnacentral:rRNA from 1 species